UUCUCGAAAGCAGGGCUGCAGAUGCCGAUUUAUUGCUGCACGUUCACGCUGGCCUGACACUGAACCUUCAAAAAAGUUCAAUACUCGCAAAAGACUUCACCAUUGCAUCAGCCACUGCCCCUAGUUCAGAAAAAUUGGUCCUCAACGGACCAGAACUCGAGGAACACUUGUACCAUGACAGCGAGCACCGUUCUUCCCUUCUAGUCAAGGCACGGCAAAACGGCGUAGAGGUGCGAGGAAUCUUGAACGGUCAACUCAGGAUUAGCCCAGCUGUCUCUGCCCAACGUUCGGAUGGAGGUCUCAUUCCACACGAAGUAUUUAUGGUAGAAGAAAGAUCGACGAUGCCUUUUA